GACGAACGCUGGCGGCGUGCUUAACACAUGCAAGUCGAACGGAAAGGCCCUGCUUUUGUGGGGUGCUCGAGUGGCGAACGGGUGAGUAACACGUGAGUAACCUGCCCUUGACUUUGGGAUAACUUCAGGAAACUGGGGCUAAUACCGGAUAGGAGCUCCUGCUGCAUGGUGGGGGUUGGAAAGUUUCGGCGGCUGGGGAUGGACUCGCGGCUUAUCAGCUUGUUGGUGGGGUAGUGGCUUACCAAGGCUUUGACGGGUAGCCGGCCUGAGAGGGUGACCGGCCACAUUGGGACUGAGAUACGGCCCAGACUCCUACGGGAGGCAGCAGUGGGGAAUAUUGCACGAUGGGCGGAAGCCUGAUGCAGCAACGCCGCGUGCGGGAUGACGGCCUUCGGGUUGUAAACCGCUUUCGCCUGUGACGAAGCGUGAGUGACGGCAAUGGGUAAAGAAGCACCGGCUAACUACGUG
rnacentral:rRNA from 1 species